rnacentral:rRNA from 1 species
CCUACGUGAGGCAGCAGUGGGGAAUAUUGCACAAUGGGGGAAACCCUGAUGCAGCGACGCCGCGUGAGUGAAGAAGUAUUUCGGUAUGUAAAGCUCUAUCAGCAGGGAAGAAAAUGACGGUACCUGAUUACGAAGCCCCGUCUAACUACGGGCCAGCAGCCGCGGGAAUACGUAGGGGGCAAGCGUCAUCCGGAUUUAUUGGGUGUAAAGGGAGCGUAGUCGGCAGGACAAGUCUGGAGGGAAAUGCCGGGGCUUAACCCCGGGACUGCUUUGGAAACUGUGCAGCUAGAGUGCAGGAGAGGUAAGUGGAAUGCGUGGUGUAGCGGUGAAAUGCGUAGAUAUUAGGAGGAACACCAGUGGCGAAGGCGGCUUACUGGACUGUAACUGACGUUGAGGCUCGAAAGCGUGGGGAGCGAACAGGAUUAGAUACCCUAGUAGUC